rnacentral:rRNA from 1 species
UUAGUACGAUGCCGUAGACCCGAAACCGGGUGAUCUACCCAUGUCCAGGGUGAAGGUCGGGUAACACCGACUGGAGGCCCGAACCCACGCAAGUUGAAAAUUGCGGGGAUGAGGUGUGGGUAGGGGUGAAAUGCCAAUCGAACUCGGAAAUAGCUGGUUCUCCCCGAAAUAGCUUUAGGGCUAGCCUCGAGUGAUGAGUCUUGGAGGUAGAGCACUGAUUGGACGAGGGGUCCCCACAGGAUUACCGAAUUCAGUCAAACUCCGAAUGCCAAUGACUUUAACUCGGGAGUCAGACUGCGAGUGCUAAGAUCCGUAGUCAAGAGGGAAACAGCCCAGACCAUCAGCUAAGGUCCCCAAGUAUACGUUAAGUGGAAAAGGAUGUGGAGUUGCCCAGACAACCAGGAUGUUGGCUUAGAAGCAGCCAUCAUUGAAAGAGUGCGUAAUAGCUCACUGGUCGAGUGACUCUGCGCCGAAAAUGUACCGGGGCUAAACGUAUCACCGAAG